GGGGUUAUAGUUAAAUUUGGUAGAACGAC
rnacentral:tRNA from 1 species